GUUUUAAUAGUUUAAUAAAAACAUUGGUCUUGUAUACCAAAUAUAAGAAAAAUUUAUCUUUUAAAACU
rnacentral:tRNA from 1 species